AGUGAACGCUGGCGGUAGGCCUAACACAUGCAAGUCGAACGGCAGCACAGGAGAGCUUGCUCUCUGGGUGGCGAGUGGCGGACGGGUGAGGAAUACAUCGGAAUCUACUUUUUCGUGGGGGAUAACGUAGGGAAACUUACGCUAAUACCGCAUACGACCUACGGGUGAAAGCCGGGGAUCUUCGGACCUUUCGCGAUUGAAUGAGCCGACUUCGGCUUAGCUAGUUGGCGGGGUAAAGGCCCACCAAGGCGACGAUCCGUAGCUGGUCUGAGAGGAUGAUCAGCCACACUGGAACUGAGACACGGUCCAGACUCCUACGGGAGGCAGCAGUGGGGAAUAUUGGACAAUGGGCGCAAGCCUGAUCCAGCCAUACCGCGUGGGUGAAGAAGGCCUUCGGGUUGUAAAGCCCUUUUGUUGGGAAAGAAAUCCAGCUGGUUAAUACCCGGUUGGGAUGACGGUACCCAAAGAAUAAGCACCGGCUAACUUAGGGCCAGCAGCCGCCGCCG
rnacentral:rRNA from 1 species